UACGUAGGGGGCGAGCGUUGUCCGGAGUUACUGGGCGUAAAGGGCACGCAGGCGGUGCGGCGCGUUUCGCGUGACAGCGGAGGGCUUACCUCUCCGAGGAUGCGAAAGACGGCGGCACUUGAGGGCCAGAGAGGGACACGGAAUUCCGGGUGGAGUGGUGAAAUGCGUAGAGAUCCGGAGGAACACCGAAGGCGAAGGCAGUGUCCUGGCUGGUGACUGACGCUGAGGUGCGAAAGCUAGGGGAG
rnacentral:rRNA from 1 species